rnacentral:rRNA from 1 species
GACGAACGCUGGCGGCGUGCUUAACACAUGCAAGUCGAACGGAAAGGCCCUGCUUGCAGGGUGCUCGAGUGGCGAACGGGUGAGUAACACGUGGGUGAUCUGCCCCUUACUUUGGGAUAAGCCUGGGAAACUGGGUCUAAUACUGGAUAGGACCAUGCUGUCGGUGGUGUGGUGGAAAGAUUAGUUUCGGUAAGGGAUGAGCUCGCGGCCUAUCAGCUUGUUGGUGGGGUAAUGGCCUACCAAGGCGUCGACGGGUAGCCGGCCUGAGAGGGUGGACGGCCACAUUGGGGCUGAGAUACGGCCCAGACUCCUACGGGAGGCAGCAGUGGGGAAUAUUGCACAAUGGGCGCAAGCAGGAUGCAGCGACGCCGCGUGGGGGAUGACGGCCUUCGGGUUGUAAACUCCUUGCAGCCAUGACGAAGCCCUUGUGGUGACGGUAGUGGUAGAAGAAGCACCGGCUAACUACGUG